rnacentral:rRNA from 1 species
CCCUUAGAUGUUCUGGGCCGCACGCGCGCUACACUGAAGGAGGCAGCGUGUACUCCUGGAUCGAAAGAUUUGGGUAACCCGCGAAUCUCCUUCGUGCUAGGGAUUGAGGUUUGCAAUUAUCCUUCAUGAACGAGGAAUUCCCAGUAAGUGCAAGUCAUAAGCUUGCGCUGACUACGUCCCUGCCCUUUGUACACACCGCCCGUCGCUACUACCGAUUGAAUGAUUUAGUGAGGACUUCGGACUGGGACCGAUGCGGCUUUCGGGCUGCGUCGGUAUUCUGGAAAGAUGUCCAAACUGUAUCAUUUAGAGGAAGUAAAAGUCGUAACA